AGGAGCCAGAACUGGAAUCCAGGCCUGAUCCCACAGUCUUCCCAUGGCACCGCAGCCUCACAGGGCCAGCUCUAUGGGGGCCUCACCGACUGCAUGGUGAAGAUUUGGCGGCAGGAGGGCCCCCUGGCACUCUACAAGGGCCUGGGCCCCGCCUACCUGCGCCUGGGCCCCCACACCAUCCUCAGCAUGCUCUUCUGGGACGAGCUUCGGAAACUGGCUGGGCGGGCCCAGCACCAGGGCACCUAGACAGCGGCCCUCACCCCCACGUCCUUGGCCGGAAGUGAGGGCCUGCUCCAGCACAACUGGCUGUCCCAGAGCGGGCCAUGGGCCCAGGCCCUGCCAGAGGCCCCGGGAGAAUGUGGACAGCUCUGGUCCACCCAGCCCCUU
rnacentral:sRNA from 1 species